rnacentral:rRNA from 1 species
GACGAACGCUGGCGGCGUGCCUAAUACAUGCAAGUAGAACGCUGAAGAGAGGAGCUUGCUCUUCUUGGAUGAGUUGCGAACGGGUGAGUAACGCGUAGGUAACCUGCCUUGUAGCGGGGGAUAACUAUUGGAAACGAUAGCUAAUACCGCAUAACAAUGGAUGACACAUGUCAUUUAUUUGAAAGGGGCAAUUGCUCCACUACAAGAUGGACCUGCGUUGUAUUAGCUAGUAGGUGAGGUAAUGGCUCACCUAGGCGACGAUACAUAGCCGACCCGAGAGGGUGAUCGGCCACACUGGGACUGAGACACGGCCCAGACUCCUACGGGAGGCAGCAGUAGGGAAUCUUCGGCAAUGGGGGCAACCCUGACCGAGCAACGCCGCGUGAGUGAAGAAGGUUUUCGGAUCGUAAAGCUCUGUUGUAAGUCAAGAACGGGUGUGAGAGUGGAAAGUUCACACUGUGACGGUAGCUUACCAGAAAGGGACGGCUAACUACGUG